AGCGAACGCUGGCGGCAGGCUUAACACAUGCAAGUCGAACGCUCGUAGCAAUACGGGAGUGGCAGACGGGUGAGUAACGCGUGGGAAUAUGCCUUCUGGUUCGGAAUAACUCAGGGAGACUCGAGCUAAUACCGGAUAAGCCCGAGAGGGGAAAGAUUUAUCGCCAAAAGAUUAGCCCGCGUCCGAUUAGCUAGUUGGUGAGGUAAUGGCUCACCAAGGCGACGAUCGGUAGCUGGUCUGAGAGGAUGAUCAGCCACACUGGGACUGAGACACGGCCCAGACUCCUACGGGAGGCAGCAGUGGGGAAUAUUGGACAAUGGGCGCAAGCCUGAUCCAGCCAUGCCGCGUGAGUGAUGAAGGCCUUAGGGUUGUAAAGCUCUUUUGUCCGGGAAGAUAAUGACUGUACCGGAAGAAUAAGCCCCGGCUAACUUCGUGCCAGCAGCCGCGGUAA
rnacentral:rRNA from 1 species